GGGGUGGAGCCAGGAUGUGAUGUAAUGGCAGGAAGAAGGUGUGUCUUGCUCUCUUGCCGGUUUCUGCCUUACUGUUUGCAGCCGCCAUGAGCUGCGGCCCUGCCAUGCCACCCUGCCUUGGAGCCAAGAAUGGACUGAAACUUCCAAAAAUGGUCGAGGCCUGAAGCAGGAGGUGGACUUCACGUGAGGAGCAUUUUUUACAGCUGGCUCUGCAGAUGGAGGGAAGUCUGAAGCAAGGCUGAAGCUCAUCUGUGAACACCCUGAGUGAUUGCAGGAAGAAGAACACCUGAACUUCAGGAUGUGUGGCUGCCCUGAUGCCUCUCCAUGACACAGGAAGAGGACACACAAGGACAGACCUGGUGGACAGGCACAGGAAGUACCUCAGACCUUUCAAUGGAACCUUCUCUGGACUACUCAGGACUACUAGGAUUCCGGAGGAAAAGCAACAAUUCUGGGAACACGAAAGUGAAGAAUUUAAUAUUUAAAUUUUUAUGUCUUAAAUGUAUUCUGUCAGUGCUUAUGCUGAAAAGAAGCACUUAUUUCUUCUUACCCUCACAACCGCACCCUACAGCCAGGACUAUGUAUGCUUUCACUCAUUCAGAAACAUUUAUCAAGGGUCAUGAUGUGUCAAGCAGUAUUCAGGGCCAUGUGAAGCAGCAGAAAGGACUGGAAAAGCCAUCGUUCCUGUCGGAUUACUUUUCAGAGAUGAAAAUCCAAGGAGCAGAAACUCCCUCAAAGUCACAUAAAGCAGCCAAUAAGCGGCUGAGCUAGCAUCUGAAGACAGCUCUAAUUCAAAGGUGUAGCUCUUUACCAUGCUGUCCUGGCAUGGUCAGCAUAUUUAGUAUUUCAGUAAGACAAUAAGAGAUUGUAAGAGCAGCUCACACUACAGAAGAGAAGACACGGGGACUACAGGUGGCCCUGUAAAAGGACAUUCUUCUACAUUAGCUCUGCUGAGAUGAACAUAAGAGGCUAAGGAUGAUUUGUUUCUCACAUUUGCCAGUGGUGACAAAUCUAUAGCACACGUGCCACAGCAAGACACAAAGCCCUCUCUAUCAGCUCGCAAACUGUCAAGUCAGCAGUCAGACAUCAAUAGCAGCUGUUUAUUCUAAACUAAAACCUCAGUGUUCAGGUUACUUGCAGUACUGCAAUAAAUAAGUGGAUUUUAGUUUGCAGCUUAGGCACUUGUCUCUAAAAGUUUUGCCAUCACUGAUCUACAUGCACUAUAAUUAAUAUCUACAUAAUCACUUUUGAAUCAAGAUAUUUUUAGAUGAAUGCUAUUUUUCUAGUCACCUGUAUUAUAGUAUGCUGAUGAAUUAAAUAAGAAUGAAAUAAAAAUAUGUGGCAUGUAUUAGAUUCCAUAAGAACAGAAUAAAAAUGUGAUAUAUAUAUAUAUAUAUUAGAUGUUACAAGUCCAAAGAGUUUCAUGAAGGUUGAGUACAUGUCCAGAUAAGCUAACAGAUAUUCUUGCAGACAGUCUGCCCAAAAAAAGAAUGUAGUGUUUCCUGAGUGUUCCAAAUAGCUUUCCUUUGAAAUACGGUUAAGGUAGUGUAGUUCUAUGUUAACAGUACAAAAGCAGCUGUUUAUGAAGUAUUCUGAGAUAGGAACAGAAAUGGCACUCCAUGGCAUGGUGAAAAACAAAAUCCUACUUACAAAAAGUUAUAAGAUGGUAAAGUAAAUUGAAAUUAGUUGGAAAUAUAGCUUGUUUUUCUUACACAGGUAACAGUUAAUCUAAGUGAAUAGAAAAUUCAUUCCAGGAUUUAAAAGAAACUUUGAAACCAUAAUUGACCUAUGACUUUUAUAAUGGUUAAAGUCUUAUCAUUUUGAGGUUUAUUUUUUAAACCUCAAAAUGCUUUAAAUAUUUUAAAUAAAUGCUUUAA